UCUNUGGGCUGUAACUGACGCUGAGAAGCGAAAGCAUGGGGAGCGAACAGGAUUAGAUACCCUGGUAGUCCAUGCCGUAAACGUUGGGCACUAGGUGUGGGGGACAUUCCACGUUUUCCGCGCCGUAGCUAACGCAUUAAGUGCCCCGCCUGGGGAGUACGGCCGCAAGGCUAAAACUCAAAGAAAUUGACGGGGGCCCGCACAAGCGGCGGAGCAUGCGGAUUAAUUCGAUGCAACGCGAAGAACCUUACCAAGGCUUGACAUAUACUGGACUGCGUCAGAGAUGGCGUUUCCCUUCGGGGCUGGUAUACAGGUGGUGCAUGGUUGUCGUCAGCUCGUGUCGUGAAAUGUUGGGUUAAGUCCCGCAACGAGCGCAACCCUCGUUCUAUGUUGCCAGCACGUGAUGGUGGGGACUCAUAGGAGACUGCCGGGGUCAACUCGGAGGAAGGUGGGGAUGACGUCAAAUCAUCAUGCCCCUUAUGUCUUGGGCUUCACGCAUGCUACAAUGGCCGGUACAGAGGGUUGCGAUACUGUGAGGUGGAGCUAAUCCCUAAAAGCCGGUCUCAGUUCGGAUUGGGGUCUGCAACUCGACCCCAUGAAGUCGGAGUCGCUAGUAAUCGCAGAUCAGCAACGCUGCGGUGAAUACGUUCCCGGGCCUUGUACACACCGCC
rnacentral:rRNA from 1 species